GAGACACAUCUUUCAAAGGUUUUAGGAUUCCUCCCAGGAGGCAGCCUGCAGCACAUGCUGCUCCGCCUUGCCUGCCUGGUGAUCUGUCCUGUGUGGAGGUACCCGCUCAGCAGUCCUCCGUCGUGGGGCAUGUUGGCGCGCUUCUGCAGUAUGUGUGAUGUUGCCGCGAGUGUUUAUAUAUAUAUCUGUGUUGGUGAACCUCUGCACAUAUCUCAGUGAGGCAAAUUCCUAGUCAUGGUGAGAUUGCUGGGGCAAAGUAUAUGAACUAUUAAAGUUUCAAUAGAUUUUGUCAAAUUUCCCUUUGGAAAGGUUGCAUCAGUUUUCUUUCUGCCAUUGUGCUUUCUCCUUGCUGAGUCUUUGUAAUUAUGUGGCUGAAGAGUUGAUCUGAGGCAAUGAGUUCAUCUAAAACCAAAACUUUUGUGUCUCCAAAAGGACUAGAGAAGAGACUCAGUUCUUUUUUUAUGGGAUUGAGAUCCACUUUCCUAGGCUUAUCUCUGCAAACCUGUCUUUCAUACACUGUCUGCUUAUCUCUGAGGCUGUCACUCCAGGUGGGAUUCAUACUGUGUUUUAUUUUUAUUUAUUUAUUUGAUCUUCCAGGUUCAGGUGGUCCUCCUGACUCAGACUCCCAAGUAGCUGGGACUGCUGGCUUGUGUUAGACAUAAAGGGAAGUACACGAAAUGGGAUUGUGUGUGUUGGCCAAGAAUGGGAUGAGAUGUACAGGAACAGAAGGUGUAGUGGGCAGUGAAUGGAUGUGAGGAAGGUAAAGAGAUGACCGGAGCUACAACUGGCCUUUAAGUCCACUGCAGGGGUUUUCCCUUCAUGCAGUCAAGGAAAUUACUGUUUUAUAUACCAAGUUAAAGGAAAUUACUGUUUUAUAUACCACGUUAAAUACCUGGUCCAAGAUCACAAAUGAAAGGUUGAAUUUGCUCAAGCUGACAGAAGUACGUGAGGUAGUAGGAUGUGCACAGCAUGGGAGGCCAGGCAGGGCCUGGUCUAUAUCCUGCUGUGCUCAUUUAUCCAGUGUAUGCAUCAGGAAGGGGGGAGCCUUCCACACUGUGGGCUUCUGUGGGAAAUGGUAGGAAAGAGUAUCUGUGAAAACUCUUAAGGACAAAGAAAAAAAACGUGUUUUUUCUUUUUUUUUUUUGGAGACGGAGUGUUGCUCUGUCCCCCAGGUUGGAGGGCAGUGGUGCGAUCUUGGCUCACUGCAACCUCCACCUCCUGCGUUCAAGCGAUUCUCCUGCCUCAGCCUCCCUAGUAGCUGGGAUUACAGGUACGAGCCACCACGCCCAGCUAAUUUUUUGUAUUUUUAGAGAUGGGAUUUCACCAUCGUGGCCAGGCUGGUCUCGAACUCCUGGCCUCAAGUGAUCCAUCUGCCUCGGCCUCCCAAAGUGCUGGGAUUACACGCGUGAACCACCGUGCCUGGCCAAAAUGUGUUUUUUCAAAAGAGAAAGAUAUUAUUUUUAUUUGCGUAUAGAGACUUCACAGUCCAGCAUUUUCUGAUCAAUCUGGCAAUUUAGACAAUAUUUGGAAAUUUAGAAAGUUGAAAAGUUUGAGAGGUUUAAAGUUUAGUACUGUAUGAGGAAUUAAAUGUUAGAUAUGUUUCAUUUGCUGAAAAGCAAGCUUUUUAAUAGAAACCCUAACCGGAAAGUGUUGGAACUUCUAAGUUGGUUGGCAGCAUUCUCUGUUGACAGUGUGUGCUGCAUGCAGCCUGUUAAAGCACCAGUUGGCGGGCCCUGUGCUCUGCUUUCCCUUUCAUUGUGAGGGACUGCUUUGGGUAAUUCUAUACAGGUGUAAUUAAGGGGCCAGGGGAAGAGUUCUUUUUGUUUCUGCUGUGAAUUAGAGGACUAUGUCCUUGCUCUUU
rnacentral:lncRNA from 10 species